ACGUCGUGAUUAAGUACGGGCAAGCGAAGGACUGUUGAUUUUUCUUCGUUAAUACCCGCUAAUUGGCGACGAAAGGGAUUCUCAGUUAUCAUCUUAUCUUUCGGAGUUUUGCCGAGAAGGGGUCUUGGGUUUUGCUUGAAAAAAGCUGUGGAACCGAGGGACUGCUGAGAUUCGCAAAAGGGUUCGACCCUUUCUGGGUUUUCAAGGUCUGCGUAUUCUCUAGAAGGAUGCAGAUUUUCUUCAAUCUUUGGGAAACCAUUACUUGACAACGAGAGAGAGCACGCUUGUCUGCGUUCAUGCUAGUGCCGUGACGGUGUACAUGCGUGCUCUCUACCGUUGUCAUGCGAUGGAUGCCCAAAAACAAACUCUUCUCUGGAGCAUUUGCUGCAAAAGGGUUAUUCGGAUGAUGUUUAUAGGGGAUCUUCAGUCUCAACAUGUAAUUUGAAAGUGCAUUUCCGAUCUGUUUGGAUAAUCUCCAUUAAUCCUCCUAGCAUUAUAGAAACCUAGUUCACGACCUUUCAUACUAUAAUGGCAAUUACAAAGGUUUUAGUUCAAAGUUCUAUAUUAGUACAUUUAGAAGGUUGAUGCAGCCUAGGGUAUUAGCAUUUACUGGCAAUUGAGUACUUUCUAUAGUUCUUUUCACCCUCUGGUAUGUUAGUUUCUCUUGCUUACAUCUAGGCGAAGCUUUUUGAAUGCAUUUAGAUAAAUGCCAAGCUUUACACAUUUAAAAUAAGGGGAGAAAAUUUGAGUAAUUACCUCAAAUCUUAAUUUGAAGUUAUAUUAUAAUAAUUGUUAUACCUUCAGCUUCUGAAUUGCAUAUUCCUGUUGUUUGUAGUGGAUCUGAGACAUGAAUUAGUUCCCAAGCAUUUGAAAGGACAUCCAUUACUAGAUUUAAGUGAAUAGCAUAGGUCUAUACCUCCUUUAAGAAGUGUGUUUCAGUGGUGUCUGUUCAACUUGAUGUGAAGUUACUACCCAAGCUACAGCCACUUGAUUAGUAAAACCUGUGGAUGUGGUAGGACCUACUCUGGCAUCUAAAAAUCGGAUCGUUUGAUGCAAAGAUGUUGGAAGUUGAUGCCCUACCCAUUUAGCCUGAGGUUUCUAGUCUCACAUUUCACCACCAAGGCAUCUUGACCGUGAUUUAUAGCCUAUAUGUUGUAUUUUUCAUUUUAGGUGGGUUGACUUUCUACUGGUCAUUAGAGGUGGCUUGAAGCAUGUUGAGAUUUUAGGAACACAACAGAGAGAGAGAGAGAGAGAGAGAGAGCAGAAGAGGGAUAUACUCUUACUCAGAAGGAAUAUAGCUCUUUUAUAGAGCAUAGGGGCACUCAUAAAACCCUAACUAUCUUAUGUAUUAUUGGCCUACCGACUUAAUACUACCAUUGUAAUUAAUGCAUUUAGUACCUGGCUGGUUAAAUGCUAUGAGUAAAGGUAUCAGAAAACCACUUUUAGGCGAUUUGCCAGAAGAAUGUAGGUGUUGUUACUUCAUCACAUGCACUACAAUGCACCUAUUGUCUUUUAAUUUCCCUUGGCUUUGGUUGCCAUAGGGAUAGUUAUUAAAAUCGAUUUUAGUUGAUAAAUUCAAACGAGACAACUUAAACAUGAUGCCAGAGAAGAUGUUUUAAGCAAUACUUGAGGACUUUGAACCCAAUAGAAGGCACUUUUGAAACGGGUGCAUGGUUUUUUUUUUUUUUUUUUAAGCAUUAAUUGUUAUACGUAACUUAUUCUUCUUAAAGUUAGGUUGCACACAUAAGUAUUAGGUUGCAAUUUUCUUGUUGAUCACUUUGUAUAAGGUCUCAUUUCUUAUUAAUAGUGGAUGAAGUUAUGAGUUAGUCAGGAGGAACUUUUCUGAAGCUAUGUGUCUGUUAGUCCUUGUGGGAAUUUUCCCUUAUAACACCAUGUUCAUUAUGGUGAAGACACUUGGUGGUUUUGGUGACCCUAGUUUGUUGAUUUUGCAGAUUUCUCAUUGCAAAGAUUGAACGUAUUAGCUUUUAUGUUCUUCCUUAAUACAAACAUCUGGUCUCUAUUGCAACCAAAAAAAACAAAAACAAAAAAACAAAAAACAAAAAACAAAAAAACAAAACAAAACAAAACAAACAUAAAAAAAGAAAGAGACUGUCUUUUCUUCAAAAAUUUCUGGUAAAGCCCUGGGAUUUACAACAGUCUGAGUCAAGUAGGAUUGUCUUCACAUUCUAAAUGAUAUACAUGAUGCUGUUCGCUCUCGACUUCAGGCCUAUUUUGUUGUAUUUGCUAUUAUUUGCUGUACUUCAGGUUUAACAGCAUAAAUAGUGAAUUAUGUCCUAAGUGCUAGGUUUGUACUUUUACUGGUUGAGAUGUGAUGUUAGUGAAUCUUCAUGAGGAUCACAUAUUCUCAAUUCAUUAUAGUUGACAUUGGAAGCAUGGCUAAAAUUGUGUCUUCAUACCUAGCGUUACAAAGUUUGAUAAAAAAGUCUUAAGUUGUUAAGUGGAAAAACUAUGUAUAUAAGGAGUAUUGAAUCCCCAUAUUUAAGCGAUGUGUGAUGUUGAACACCUCCUGUAACAUGCAAACCUAAUUGAGAACGACACUUAGUAACGAUUAGGGAGCCACUCACUAGAAAUAAAUUUAGAACGGAACAUGCUGUCAUUCCUUAUUAGAAAGUCUAAUUUAAAAGUUGAAGUUGUUAGACGAAGAGAGACUAGGAGUGAGCAUGGUUCUAGGGUAAAACUUGGAACUUGAGAACCAAACUGUUGGGAACCUAUCCGGUUCCUGGUUCAAAGAUAUAUAGGAUAUAUUCUAGGUUCCAAAAAUUGGAUAAUUUGUUUCAACGAGUAAGUUUCAAGUUAAAGGUUGGUAGAACCUUGAACUUGUAACCUAGAAUAUGAAGCAGGUUUUUGUGUUUCUCUUAUUCUACGUCUUCAAACAAUCCUACAGUAUUCCAUAGUGUUUGAUGAUAAGUGUAUAAUCUGGAAUUACUAAUCUGAGCUUUUUUUUUCUGUGAUUGAGACUUUUACUUUUUUAUUAUUUUAUAUUUUUUGUAUAUCGUAAUGUAAGUUAUGGUCAGUGAAUUGUAGUAGCUAGUGGUGGUCAUUAAAGGUGACAAUAUCCACAAUCAUUCAAUUAAUAUUAUAGGUAAAACCUUGAUAGACUCUAGAAUUGACCUCGGAACCUGUGAUACAAUAAGUUCUAGAUUCCACGGUAUGCAGGGUAGGUUCUAAGUUCCAGAAAAUGAGGAACAUGUUUCAAUUAGUAGGGUCCAAGUUCCAGGUGAAACAUGUACGGAACCUAGAACCGGAACAUGUACGGAACCUAGAACCAGUCACUACUAAGGGAGACUAAUAUAUAUUAAGCUUGCUGAAACUCCAUAUUCUAGUGAUGUGAGAUACUUAAACACCUAGUAUUUUGCUGAGAAAUUAUUACAUCGUUUAAUUAGAUUUAUACUUAGAGCUAAUCAGUAUAAUCAUGCUAUAUUAAUGGGUGAUCUGUUUGAUGACUAAAAACUAUUUCCUCAUAACUUAGUUUUCCCUUUAGAUGCCUCUCUUCUACCUUUGUUCUUUCUUUAUCCCCACUUACAUCUACUAGAUUUAGAGUCUUAGCUUCUUCUCAAUGACGUCAGUGUCAUAAUCCGGAUCAUCAUGGUUUGUUUUAGUCCCUAAUCCUAACUGAAGCAAAGGAACUUCAUUUUUUUUUCUAUCUUUUGUUUCAGCUCCAUUCUAUCCAGAUUCCAUUAAAUGGAAGUUUGACCUGUUUUUGAUAGUUUUAGGGCUGUUGGUUAAGGUUUUGUAUCUUUAACUGUGACUGCUCUAUAGGAUUAGUUUAUAGUCACAUCUGUAAACGGUGUUUUCUGGGCAAUGCUAGUAUGGAACUAUGUUCAUAGGCCACAGCACUUUCUAAUAUCACAUGCAUGGUGCUGUGAUCUGAUGUGGGGCAAGGCUCGUAUUUGCUUCAAUUUGUUCUGUACAAUCAAUUUCAUAGGCUGAUGUUGGCAGUUGUUGCUUGUUUACCCUCUUGAUCCAUCCGAUUACUUUUUGCCAUGUGUCUUGAUUGCUAAUCUUUCUGUCUAUAAUCUAAGGCCCAAGGUUCAUGUGGAUCAUAUCCCAACUCUUAUGUGAGCUUUACACUACGUGCAUCUGUACUCUUUCCAAACGUACCAGUCAAUCCAUCUGAUGUCAACCCUUGCAAUUUAUGAUGUUGGUCCUUGUCUUUAUCCACCGACAAAUGACUCAACUGUGUUUGCAAUGUUGUAUUGAUGUUUUUCUGUUCACUUUUAGUUUAUGGAUUGCUUUUUAUGGAGGAAAGUGUUCAAAGGAGGUCUCAGAAAGCACCUGCAGUCUGGUCAAUUACAGGGUUAAUGCACUUGUGGUGGAGGCACUCAUCACUAGCUCACGCAAGCGUUUCUUCAAUCCUCAUGGUCAACGCCUGGCGACGUCAUUUACACCAUUCGGUGCUUAAAUCUUUGGAAAGCACUAGCUCAUGCAGGGUUAAUGUACUUUAUAAUUUUGUUAGGCACGACCUUGUCUUCUUAAUCCUUUCUCCUUCCUCACUUGCAUCAAUCACGCAUAUCUAUUGCAGAGAUCUGUUUUGUGUAGGUAUGUUUUGCUAUCUGCAGGAUAAGCCGUUCUCUGUCAGCUUCCUAUUUUGAUUAAGUACAUGUUAUGUGAGAUUAUCAUGGUAUGCAUUCUUGAUGGAGAAACUGGUUUCCAGUUAGCGGUGGUUCUUGUUAAUGGCUGUCUGCUUUCGCAUUCCAAGACGCACACUCGUGCUCCGGCAAGAUAUCGUCCCCAGUAAUGGCCGAGAUGAUGAUAAUUCCAGUUGUAGACUACUGUUUUCAGAGUGCCUCUGGUGGUUGAUGAAACCCGGCAGUCAUCGGUUGAUGAAAGCCUCGAUAUGUAUUCGCACCGGGAAUGCGAUAUCUACUACAUGAGAGAGGGAUGGAACUCGUACUUCAAUUUUGACCCACGUUGAAGUCUUUUGAAUGUAAAUGCUUAAAUCAAAUUUUAUCUAGUGAUUCUUCUACUACUC